UCAGGCCUAACACAUGCAAGUCGAGCGAGACCUUCGGGUCUAGCGGCGGACGGGUGAGUAACGCGUGGGAACGUGCCCUUUGGUUCGGAAUAGCCCCGGGAAACUGGGAGUAAUACCGGAUGAGCCCUACGGGGGAAAGAUUUAUCGCCGAAGGAUCGGCCCGCGUUGGAUUAGGUAGUUGGUGGGGUAAUGGCCUACCAAGCCGACGAUCCAUAGCUGGUUUGAGAGGAUGAUCAGCCACACUGGGACUGAGACACGGCCCAGACUCCUACGGGAGGCAGCAGUGGGGAAUCUUAGAGAAUGGGGGAAACCCUGAUCUAGCCAUGCCGCGUGAUAGAGGAAGGCCUUAGGGUUGUAAAGCUCUUCAGCUGGGAAGAUAAUGA
rnacentral:rRNA from 1 species